AGAUGAAUGUAACUGCUGGUAGAAGAUUAGCCAUAGCAGAAGCAAAUGUUGCAGAUGUUAAGACUAAACUUUCUGCAUACAAAUUUUGAGAUAACGAUGCCCCAAACAAUCCGCAAAGAAAAGAUUGGAAGGUUACUAUCCACGUAAGUUGAGGCCUAUUUUUUCUCUCAAAGAAAAGAGCAAGAGGAAUCAUAAAAAUAGUUGCAAAUAUGUAUCUGUAGGCGACAAUGAUCCUCACGCUCAUUCCAUCACUGGCUGCAAGU
rnacentral:misc_RNA from 1 species